rnacentral:tRNA from 1 species
GUGGCUCAGUGGUUAAGAGCACUGACUGUUCUUCCAGAGGUCCUGAGUUCAAUUCUCAGC